UACAGAGGGUGCAAGCGUUGUUCGGAAUUAUUGGGCGUAAAGGGCGUGUAGGCGGUCUGCUAAGUCAUGUGUGAAAUCCCUCGGCUUAACCGAGGAACGACGCAUGAAACUGGCAAGCUAGAGUACCAAAGAGGGGGGUGGAAUUCCCGGUGUAGCGGUGAAAUGCGUAGAGAUCGGGAGGAACACCAAUGGCGAAGGCAGGUCACUGGACCAAUACUGACGCUGAGAUGUGAAAGCUAGGGGAGCAAACAGG
rnacentral:rRNA from 1 species